rnacentral:snoRNA from 1 species
CAUAUUUUAAAACUUCACUUUCGGAUUACCAGCGCUCUCAUAAAUGCCUCCAUAUGAUGCUUAGUGCAAAAAUGGCCGAAAGGAGAGCGAAACAAUCCAUUUUAUAAUCUGGUUCUUGGUGUAAGGUUUCGCUGCUUGCAGUUGGCUCCUUUCCUGUCUAAGAACCGGUUCGCUUUUGGAUAACAUUC